rnacentral:rRNA from 1 species
AUUAGCCCUUAAGCUUUACAUGUGUUAGACGAACGGUCUGGAAAGUCCGACGAUACAGGGUGAUAGUCCCGUAGUUGACGAUGCAUGUUCAGUGAAAUCGAGUAGGGCGGGACACGUGUUAUCCUGUCUGAAUAUGGGGGGACCAUCCUCCAAGGCUAAAUACUCCUGACUGACCGAUAGUGAACCAGUACCGUGAGGGAAAGGCGAAAAGAACCCCUGUGAGGGGAGUGAAAUAGAACCUGAAACCGUGUACGUACAAGCAGUAGGAGCACCUUCGUGGUGUGACUGCGUACCUUUUGUAUAAUGGGUCAGCGACUUAUAUUCAGUGGCAAGGUUAACCAUCUAGGGGAGCCGUAGGGAAACCGAGUCUUAACUGGGCGCCAUAGUCUCUGGAUAUAGACCCGAAACCGAGUGAUCUAGCCAUGGGCAGGUUGAAGGUUGAGUAACAUCAACUGGAGGACCGAACCGACUAAUGUUGAAAAAUUAGCGGAUGACUUGUGGCUAGGGGUGAAAGGCCAAUCAAACUCGGAGAUAGCUGGUUCUCCCCGAAAGCUAUUUAGGUAGCGCCUCGGACGAAUACUACUGGGGGUAGAGCACUGUUAAGGCUAGGGGGUCAUCCCGACUUACCAACCCUUUGCAAACUCCGAAUACCAGUAAGUACUAUCCGGGAGACACACGGCGGGUGCUAACGUCCGUCGUGGAGAGGGAAACAACCCAGACCGCCAGCUAAGGUCCCAAAUUACAGCUAAGUGGGAAACGAUGUGGGAAGGCUUAGACAGCUAGGAUGUUGGCUUAGAAGCAGCCAUCAUUUAAAGAAAGCGUAAUAGCUCACUAGUCGAGUCGGCCUGCGCGGAAGAUGUAACGGGGCUAAGUUGUAAA